rnacentral:rRNA from 1 species
AAGUUCUGAGUAAGGGCGUGUGGUGGAUGCCUAGACUGAAGAAGGCGAUGAAGGACGUGGUUUAUCUGCGAUAAGCUUCGGGGAGGUGAUAAGCAACCUUCGAUCCGGAGAUUUCCGAAUGGGGCAACCCUGUAUGACAAACUCAUACAACCUCUGCCGUAACGGGUAGAUGGAGCAGACCUUGGGAAGUGAAACAUCUCAGUACCAAGAGGAAAAGAGACCAAUAGGUAUUCCCUUAGUAGCGGCGAGCGAAAGGGGAAAAGCACAAACUCAGCCACAAAAUCGGAUCGUCUUCCAUGGCGGCACGAUUUUGGGGAUGGGGGUUAUAAGGCUACAGCGCUGGCAACAGGUAGAGUUACAAAAUGCUUAGGUAGUGGAAGCAGCUGGGAAGCUGCACUCCAAAGGGUAAUAGUCCCGUACACGAAACCAAAGCAUCUCUAUGGCUGUAGUUCUUGAGUAACUCAAGACAUGAAUAGCUUGGGUGAAUUCGCCGGGACUAACCGGCAAUGCUACAUACUUCUUCAGAUCGAUAGUGAACUAGUACCGUGAGGGAAAGGUGAAAAGAACCCCGGUGAGGGGAGUGAAAUAGAACUGAAACCACAUGUCUACAAGGAGUAGAAGAGGUUUUUAACCUCGACUGCGUGCCUAUUGAAGAAUGAGCCAACGAGUUGAUGCAAACGGCUCGGCUAAGGAGUGUUCCUCUGGAGCCAUAGCGAAAGCGAGUGUGAAUAGCGCGUUUGUCGUUUGUAUCAGACCCGAAGCGUUGUGAGCUACCCAUGAGCAGGUUGAAGUUGCGAGAAAUCGUGAUGGAGGACCGAACCGGUGAAUUGUGCAACAUUCUCGGAUGACUUGUGGGUUGGAGUGAAAAGCUUAUCGAACAACGUAAUAGCUGGUUCUCUCCGAAAGAGCUUUCGGGCUUGCGUCGUACAUGCCCAGCACCACUUUUAACGGAAUGUGAAAGUGGUCACUUUAAAGCACAUAUUGCAACUGUUCACGAGCAGUGGACCCGAAGCAUUGUUUUAAAAGUGGUGCUGGGUGAAUUCCCUACUGGGGGUAGAGCACUGGAAGAUUUCGACAGUCCGAAAGGACGCGAAUUCUAUCAAACUCCGAAUACCAGAGGUUAGAGUACGGCAGUUAGACGAUGGGGGCGAAGCUCCAUACGUCAAAAGGGAAACAGCCCAGACCGCCAGUUAAGGUCCCUAAAUCCAUACUAAGUGUAUUGAAGGAUGUGAGAUUUCUCAGACAGUGAGGAGGUUGGCUUAGAAGCAGCCACCCUUCAAAGAAAGCGUAACAGCUCACUCACUUAGAGAUCUUGCGCCAAAAAUGAUCGGGACUAAGUAUGGUACCGAAGCUGCGGAUGUCAUACAUUUGUAUGGCGUGGUAGGAGAGCGUUCUAAUUGCGAUGAAGGUAAAGGGGUGACCCAUGCUGGAGCGAUUGGAAGUGAGAAUGUUGGCACGAGUAACCGCAAUGCAAGUGAGAUUCUUGCACGCCGAAAGAACAAGGUUUCCUUCGCAAUGGAGAUCAUCGAAGGGUUAGUCGGUCCUAAGCCGAUGGCGAACGCCGCAGGCGAUGGACAUAGGGUUAAUAUUCCCUAACGUGUGUAGUGUGCGAUGGAGGGACGGAGCGCUGUAUUUCAGGCCCCUUAUUGGAUUGGAGGUUGGCACAGUGAUUUUGGGUGGUAGGAAAAUCCGCCAUCUUAAAGAGAGUUGUGUCGAAAUGUGGAGGCCUCGGCCAAAACAAAUCUGAAGGAGCGCGCUUUCAAGAAAAACUUCUAAGCUUCAACAUUACAUGCACCGUACCGCAAACCGACACAGGUGUUCAGGGCGAGUAGCCCAAGGCGAACGAGUGAGAGAUCCCCAAGGAACUCGGCAAAAAAGCGACCGUAAGUUAGCGAUAUGGUCUUCCCUCCCUAAUUUGGGAUAAUAAAUCGAUGCAUUAUCUCUACCUCAUUCAAAACGAUGAGACAUUGGAGACAUACAUCGGUACAACGGAUAAUCUCAAGCAGCGGCUUUCGACUCACAAUAAAGGCGGGCGGAAGUACACGACGAGAGAUAGAGGCGAAUGGAAAUAUGUUUACGUUGAGGUGUAUCGGUCGAAAGCCGACGCGCUCGAGCGUGAACGAAAAUUAAAAGCGCACGGUACCGUUAAGUACGCAUUACUUAAGCGACUCGAAAGGAGUCUGCUUGAGCCCAAAUUAGGGAGGGACGCAGCUAAAGUUUCCCAAGCGACUGUUUACCAAAAACACAGCUCCCUGCGAACUCGUAAGAGGAUGUAUAGGGGGUGAUGCCUGACCAAUGCCGGAAGGUCAAAUAUGAUCGGUCUGUGGCCGCAAGGCUACUUGCUGGCGUUAUAUAAGCCCCGGUCAAUGUCGGCGAUAACUAUAGAUGGUUGUAGUUAUAAAAUUCGACCAUAUGCUGGAAACUCCGAGUAUCUUCAAGUACUCAUCGCGAAAGCGGUAGUGAAAAUCUUGAAGUGCGGACAAUCAGCAGGAAAGACUUAGCACCACUUUGUCCUCAACUGUAAGGUGGAACAUGAACACGCACACAAACACUCUCGAGUACGGACAACCGAGAGGAGUGAAGACGAUCACGGAAACGUUCGACGUCGUCACGCAAGGCGAUCAAGAGCACAAGCUCUUGAAGCGUAUCGAACUAAGGUUCGCGGACGGAAGUACCAUGGCCAUUGAGGCCACGGCUUUCUGCGUCCUUGGCGAACCGGACAUCCGACAUCCGAUACUGGCGUGGAGCAAGUAAAGCAAACGUCCUUUGGUCUUGGCGUCCCCGACGUUGAGGCUAAAGUGGUGCUAAAUAUCCUCAGAGACUAUACGUCGAACUCGUCCCUCUUAAUUGAGGAAAACGAGAUGAUAUAGUCCGAACUUUGCAGCGAUGCAAAGAAUUGCUUGCAGCUACCAAUAGCAAGCUAAGUAACAUAGGAAAAGAAUCGUCCUAAGGUAGCGAAAUUCCUUGUCUGGUAGCAUCUGAAUCUGCCAGCUUCGCGAGUAAUUGCGAUGAAAAAUCCAACUGUAUCGGUGAAGCCUAAGGCGCAAGCUAUGGUAAUACCGAGGGAAGUCGUCAUUGACCCCGUAGAGACUACACGUUGGCUCCUCAGUAAUGAGGAUGAAGAUAUAGUCCAUGCCACUAGAAAUACGUGGAACGAACAUGAAGUUCAGACGCGCACGAAUGGUAUAACGAUUUGGGAACUGUCUCGGGGAUUUGCUCGGUGAAAAUACAAGGGCGGUGAAGAUGCCGCCUUCCUGCAGCUAGACGAAAAGACCCCAGAAGCUUUACUGUAAUUUGGUAUUGGGAUUAUGGGAACACCGCGUAGCGUAAGAGGGAGACUUUGAAGCACGUUCUUCGGGAUGUGUGGAGUCGCCAAUGCAACACCUCUCCUUGUUUCUGUAGUUUCUAACCUCAUGAGCGAAACUCAUGAGAGACAGUAUCUGAUGGACAGUUUCGGUGGGGCGCUGUCCUCCUAAAAAGUAACGGAGGAGCCUAUUAAGGUCACCUAGGCGCGAAUGGAAACCGUGCCGAUAGUGUAUACGCAUAAGGUGGCUUGACUGCGAGACGUACAUGUCAAGCAGGUGCGAAAGCAGAGGUAAGUGAACCGACCCUAUGCCUUAGAAGCAGGGGAAGAUUAACGGAUAAAAGUUACUCUGGGGAUAACAGGCUGGUACUGCCUAAGAGUCCAAAUCGACGGCAGUGUUCGGCACCUCGAUGUCGGCUCAUCUCAUCCCGGGGCUGGAGAAGGUCCCAAGGGUAUGGCUGUUCGCCAUUUAAAGAGGUACGUGAGCUGGGUUCAAACCGUCGUGAGACAGGUUGGUCUUAAUCUGCUGCAGGCGUUGAUUCUUGAGGGGAUUUGUUUCUAGUAAAGUAUUGCUACUUCGAGAAGAGAUUCUCGAUGACAAUGCGGCUUAUAACGGUGGAGUCUAAUUUGCUCCCGGUUUUAGAGAAACUUGUGCACAGGUCCGUGCGCAGGCAACUCGCUUGAGGACCGGAAAGUGAUACGAUAAUACCGUGGGAAGUCGACUUGAAACCGAUUCGGCAUACAUCGCAGGGUUUCUUGAUGGCGAUGGCAGUUUAAUGUUGCAGGUGAAGACACGAAGCGAUACAAAACGCGGCGUGAGAUUCAUGGCAACGAUCUGUCUCUAUCAAGAUACUCGGCAUGAAAAGCCACUCUAUUGGAUUCGCGAAUGAUUAGGUAUCGGUUAUAUUUCCCGUCGCAACGACGGAAUGACCGAACUUCGGAUCAACGGUUUUGAACAAGUGAGAGAUAUUCUCACUGCGCUCAAACCAUUCAUUCGAUUCAAGGCGAAGCAAGCGCAGGCGAUGAUAAAAGCUUGUGACCUGCUUUCCAAGAAAUUCAUUCGUGAACUGUCCAAAAGUGAAAUGCAAAAGCUUGUAGAACUUACUUUCGUCAUUCGAAAGGAAAAUUACAAAAGCCGAAGCGUGCUUACAAAAGAGGAAUUGAAUCGCGUUUUAAGUUUGACCCCGUAACGACUAAGCACUCAGUGCUUGACUCAUGCGCAGAGGAAUCAGUUCUCGAAACUGACUGCUCGUAUGGGUAAGAUGCCGCCACCCUCACUCCGGUCUGGAGAAGGGUGAAGAUAUAGUCUGUGCUCCGAGAAAUCGGGGAAUGAAUGACGAGAGGACCGAAAUGAACCGACCUCUGGUCUGGGGGCUGUACCGCCAGGUGCACCGCCCCGUAGCUAUGUCGGGAUUGGAUAACCGCUGAAAGCAUCUAAGCGGGAAGCCGACCCCAAGAUAAGGAAUCGUUUGAGGCUCGUGAGAGAUGAUCACGUUGAUAGGCGCCAGGUGGAAGCACAGCAAUGUGUUGAGCCGAGGCGUACUAAUCCGCCGACAG